CCACAGCACAACGUUGGAGGGCAGGGAUUUCAAAUGUCUUUCAUGAAGAGGGCCUGUGCAGAACCCAGUGAAUCCCCACUGCUCCCAUUCCAAUCUAAUGCCAGCUGUUUUCACACAGCCUGGCUGUCAGCCAGCCUCUGGAUGGGCUCUGCUGUGCUUUGGAUCAACAGAGGUCAUGGAGUGAAGUCCUGGGGAACACAAGCACACACUUCAAUAUAGGCUUAACAAUAGAGCUCCAAGACAAUUGAACGAACAUUGCUAUUUCCACGUUCCUCAAGACCAUAAAGAGAAAUUCUUCGACUGCUGCUAUGAUCAACAAAGAUUGCUGGAUUCAGGUAAAACCAAGAACAAUCAACCAACAAUCAACUGUCUGCUCCCUGAAACUACUGAAGAGACUUCCACGGAUAAGGUCAGAAUUUUGCUCCAGCUCAUGAGGCAGCUGUUUC